rnacentral:rRNA from 1 species
GGCACAGGAGUUUCACGGGGGGCCCUGCCCCCCCCCCCGUGACCCUCCUAGCGACGCCACUGACUAUCACUAAACUGAAACUGCAAAUGGCACAUUAAAUCAGGCAGCUGACCUUCAAUCACUCCAACUGUUACUUGGAUAACUGUGGUAAUUCUAGAGCUAAUGCCGACAAGUGCUGACUUCCUGGAUACUUGCAUUUAUCAGACUAAAACUAAGACCAAUUUGGACUCAACCGCCAGCUUUGGCAUUUCUCGAUACUAGUUGGCCCUGUGAUGACAACAAUACAUUUACAUGUCUGCUCUAUCAACUUUCAAGUGUAUCUUCUGUGCCUGUCAUGGUGACCAUGAGUAAAUGAGAAUCAUGCUUUGAUUCUGGAGAGAGAGCCUUAGAAAUGACUACAUCACCCAAGGAAGGCACCAGGCAUGCAAAUCACCCACAUGCAACUUUCGGAGGUAGCCAUGAAAAACACAAUAGAGGACUAUUUUGUGCCCAUGCAAUUGGAAUUAAAAAUGUUUUAAAUCCUUUACGGAGGAUUCCAUUGGUGUGCUAGUCUGGUGGCAGCAGCAAUGAUAAUUCCAGUGCCAAUACCAUAUAUGAAAUUUGCCAUAAUUAAAGAGUGCAUAAUGGGAUCUUCGAAUUGAACUGGCUGUCUGCUUUGAGACUAACCAGAGCCUGUACCAGGCCCUGCCUUUUCGUGUUCCCCUGUUGCUGUUCACUGAUUAUCCUAAAUAUCUGUAGCAUUUACUUUGCUAAAAUUAGAGUGUAUAAUGCAGGCUGAUCACCUGAAUACUUCAGCUUGGAAUAAUGGAAUGGCUUAGAUUUUAUGUUUUUUUCAGAAACUAACCAAUGAUUUAGAGAGACAGCCUAGGGACAUCCUUUUAAGGUGCUGGAUGUGAAAUUAAUUAACAAGUGUAAGACAAAGUGAAGCAAAAGCAUUGCUCAUGAAUGCUUUAUUUAAUCAAAAAUGAAAAAAGGGAAAUCUGACACCAUUGAAGUUCUACCCCUACAUGGUGUUGACUAGUAAUAAUAAUAUAACUGCUUCAUUGCCCUGACCGACCAUGCAGCUUUUGGAAAACCAAAGUCUUUGUGUACUGGUAAAUAUGGUUUGAAAUGAUGGAAGGACACUACCAGGAGUGGAGCCUGCAUCUUAAUUUGACUCAGCACAUGAAAUCUACCAUGCCAUACAGAGGAUAAACAGAUUGAUAGGUCUUGCUUGAUUCUGUGGAUGGUGGUGCAGGACCAUUCUUAGUUGGUGGAGAGUAAAUUGACUUGCA